UGAAGAUGAUGUUCUACAGCAAGAUGGAGUCUUCAAGAAAAUAUUCUCUCACAUUGGCAUUCUUAUUGGCUUUCUUCAUCAUUUCUUCAGAUAUGAUUAUGAAAUCUGAAGCAAAUUUCGCACAACAUUGUAACCAUGACCGAGAUUGUCAUCACUAUUGUCAAACAUGUAAAUGUAAUUGUUUUUACAAAAUGUGUCACUGCCAUAAACCACCUUUAGCAGAUAAUGCUCCAACAUUUUGAGAAUUGGUGAGAUUGUGAUGUAAUCAAUAUGAAUUAGAAUAAUGAAGAAUUAUGAAUGACAUAAAUAUAGUUUUCAAU